rnacentral:lncRNA from 1 species
UCUCAGCGGUUUGCCUCCAAGACUCCGACCGCUCAGCGGUCUAUUCCGUCGCUUAGCGGUUUGCCUCCAAAUCGCUGGACGCUCAGCGGCGCCGCUCAAGCGAGAAACAGUGGACUCACCCUCGAAAUUGGCGCUCAGUGUUGGAAAUAGCGUUGAGCAGUGAACUUGACUCUUCUUUUCUUCCUUUUUGCUCUUUUCUUGAGUCUAAGUUGUGACACCCGAGCACUGACGAGGGCGGGGAGUGAUCGCCGGUGCAAGAGGCAUGGUGCAAGGGGCACGGACAAGGAGCGGCUCCUGGCAGGCUUCGAGUGGAAGGGGCACAUGGACGAAUCGAACAUACACCGGAAUGAGAGGGAUCUGGAGACUGUAUAGGUAUGGGACUAUAUAGUUGAAAGAUAGCUUAAAGGAAUUGAUUUGGCUACCCAUAUCACCAAAAUGCAUUUACUUUUCGGUAGCCUAACCCUUAAGAACUCCAUGGUUAAGCGUGCUUAGCCUGGAGUAAUU